rnacentral:rRNA from 1 species
CAAACUGGAGAUGGCGACCGGCGCACGGGUGAGUAACACGUAUCCAACCUGCCGAUAACUCGGGGAUAGCCUUUCGAAAGAAAGAUUAAUACCCGAUGGCAUAAUAGAACCGCAUGGUUGAUUAUUAAAGAAUUUCGGUUAUCGAUGGGGAUGCGUUCCAUUAGGCAGUUGGUGGGGUAACGGCCCACCAAACCUUCGAUGGAUAAGGGUUCUGAGAGGAAGGUCCCCCACAUUGGAACUGAGACACGGUCCAAACUCCUACGGGAGGCAGCAUG